GGGGAGGAAUAGAGGCGGAGAAAUUAACGACAAAGCUCCCUUUCCGAUAAAGAUUCUGCUGCUAGAACACCGGGGAUUGUGUGAAGACAUUGCUAAUCCCAUGCUGGCAUUAUUGGUGCUCUGGUUAUAGAGGGGCCCACGUGCUGCUCUGACCUGAACCCCAUCCAGCUACCCACCGCCCCAGACUACCCUCACACGGCCGGCAUCAGGGGCAGAGCAGAGGACCGCCAUGGAUGAAGAUCGUGCAGGGGAGCAAAUGAGACCUCUGCUUACCACGGUAUGUAAAUGUGGGGGGUAGUUAGCAUGGCACCCCUCACACAUACUAGUAGUAGAAGGAGGGUGGUGGGGGCUAGUGGGUGAAAUAGGAGUCUGUCUCGCUGUGUAAUGACGCCAGGAGUGCAGGCUGAUGCCUACUAUAUGAGCAGACAAAAGAUGUGGCUCAUUGUCUGUUAGCCAGCUACUCAACACCAUCACCCCUUCCACUCUUACCCACCAUAUUUAAAAGACUUGGCGGAGGUGAAGGAUGGUAAAGUAUGGCCAAGAAGUUCACUCAUUAUUAUCAUCCCAGAUGUUAUACCCUCCUCCACUAUUUAACCCCUUGAGUGCCAGGUGACUGCACAAUAUCUUGGGCACAUCUCUAGCACCCUCAAAGGGUUAAUAUAUGUGUGGGCACUAACGAUUGCUUGCUUGUGGCUCAGAGUUGUGGUGCUACUACCCCUUGUUACCAUUUGUGGCUGAAGGUUUAUAGUCCUGUUGCAUGAUAUGUGUGCCACGUGAAUCGGGGACAACUUGACCCAGAGUAAUCUUGCAGUUUGAGGUGGGAUUAACCAAAUUCGUUGUUGAAUUGUUGAAUGGUAGCCUGACAUCUGGGGCUGAAACUUCCAUUGAGUCUCUGACCCAUUUGUUCUCGAAAUUCUGUGAAUAUUCCCUGAUGAUGUUACAGGUGUCUAUACUGCCAUGCCGCCCCCCCAGCCCAUGACCAGUGAUCCUCAGGGGGGCAUCCCUUAAAUUCCUACUCUAGUGUCUGAAAGAGGAUCCCUUGCUUGCAGUGCUGGAGGGAGUCUGUCCAGCACAUGUGAUGGGGGUUUCCUCCUAGCUGCUAGUGCACUUGGUGGCUUUUCAUCCUACGUGAACAGCUUUUUGGUGGAAAUGACUCACACGGAAGUUGCAUCCCCUGUCUGUGUCCCUCCCCUGCAAGUAUGACAGAAUGAAAGCGGGGGGAGGAAAGUGUCAAUGUCCUAAUCUCAUAGUUAGGAGAAUUUCACAUCAACUUCCCUGUCCUUACUCUUUUAUUCUCUCACAUACCUAGCCAUUGAGUGUCUGAGCCAUUCAUGUUGUCAUCAAACAGCAUUUUCUGCAUGCACAUACAUGAUAACUCCUUUCUCUAAUUUUUACAUUUUACAAGUUCAGUAAGAAGUGAUUGUGGCACUCCUCUUUCCUCUUACUAUUGAAUGUUUUGGAAAGAGAAGAAUAGUUGAAUUUUCUUCUUAGUAUAUAUUUCUUUAUCUACAUAAGACAAACUUAUUUUGUUUUGCCUAUUCCAAAGUCUCAUUUUUGAUGUUUCUUCUUCUUCUUAUUAUUUUUAAAUAUAAAAUUAACUGCAUUUAUAUAAAUAUAAUAAAUGUUCCAUUUUCUUGUUUUGGCUAACAGUUUUUGCUGAUGUGUUCAUUUGGUAACUUUUUAUGUUUUUGUUAUAAAUGGAAAAUGCGCAAACUAAUUAGCAACAUUUAAUGAGAGAUAGAAAAGGGAUUUUGGUAUCCAUGUCAAGUGUGUUGACAUAAAUAAAUCAAUAUAAAAUGGGGUUUGACUGUAUGUCUGUUGUUAUAUAUCUUGCAAGUUAAAUGUUUAUUUUCAUUUAUAAUUUUUGAUUUCAAGAGGAUUAUUACAUUUUUUAUAUUUUCGUUACAUCCUUGUAGUGUUCUUUUUGAUAAUGCCUAAAAAAGUUGCAGAUUAGUUAGUAAACUGAUGCUUGAUACUCUGUUAAAUAAUUACAAUUUAAAAUGCUGGUCAUUUGAGUUGUGUAAUAACUUCUAAACCCUAGACAAGCAGACACUGUUUCUUGUGGAGUCUUCACAUUUCUUGUAAGUGACUCUGAAGGGAACGCACAUGGUAGUGCCCAAGGGAAUGGGAUAUAUGUUUACCUAAAGCUCUUCUUCCUCUGUUUUGCCAUCUUACAUCCGCAAGCGUCUUCAAGAGAACAAAAUAGAUAGGAUACAUAUUUAGCUGCAUCCUACAUAUAUAUUCUUGAUUAAUAAAUGCCUCAAACUGAUGCCUGUUCUCCAUCACCCUUGGUACAAUGCAGAGAAAAUCUUCCUGAAAAACACAACUUGCCCCUAGAGGCUGCAGGACACCUAGAUAUAGUAAUAGAAUAAUCCCCCAUUAAGCCUAACUUUUAAGAAUCCUACUUUUUAUGCAAUGUUGCUCUCAUUUGGCUAUGUCUUUGGCUAUGAGACCAAAGACACCGGCAGUCAACUGUUUUUUACUGGUGCCUAUUUUUUCCCCAAGUUUUGUAACUCGAGCAUGCCCUGUGCUAAGUGUACAAUGUUCUGCGAACGCCUGAGCCACUCUGUUCAGCUUCCUCUGUUAUUUCUGUAUUAGAUUUAAAGGCACAGUGACGCCAAACAAUAGUGUGUGAAAUUAAUUAAACACCAUGCUCUAAUACUGCAAAGCAAGCUAACACUGUCAGCUGUGUAAGUGUUACUCCAUGUACGACCCCACCUGUUUCUGAACAUGUCUACUGUCCAUACUGAUAUAUACUGGUGGUGAUUCAGCCCAUUGUUGAGCAUGGCUCCAUUCUGCUCCUACCCCUUUAAUGAGUGAUACUGUUGAUGACCUGGAUUGUUCCCUGAUUGUGUCUUCAGUCUGUCCUCAUCCAGUUCUCAAAUAAGACCUGAUACUAUGUGGGUAGUUACUGGCCAGGCAUCUACCUGUAUCCUGGUCUGCACCUUUACACAAGUUUUUCUUUAUCACUUUAUUUCCCAUUGCGGUUCUAGCCUAUGUAGUUGCCUUUCCCCAGUCGGGCUCUACCCUAUGCAGCAGGUGUGCUGAUCAUUAACUAAGUCUUAGUGGCCGCGGAAGUCAAAGUAUGCAAACCAUCAAUUAAUUACCACUUCACCUGAUGUGAGCAAACCUUGUAUAAGUAAAUUUGUGCUAAUAUGUGGAUUUUUCUUCUAAUAGAAAAAUAAAUAACAAAACAAAAACCAAAUCACUCAUAUAACCUUCACUUAGUUUGAUAUUUAAUCUUUAAAUGAAGAUAUGCUGAUCUUCAGUAUUUAGUUAAGUAUGUAUCUGUUCAUAGAGAUUUCACGGCUAAUGCUCACUUUAAAACAGAUUACACUAAGGAUAUUAUAUUACAACAGUGCCACACCUUGCUAAAUAUUUACUUCAAAAACCCAUGUUUCAAGCUCAUUUGCUUAAAGGAACACUAUAGGUACCCAGACCACUUCAUGUUAAUGAAGUGAUAUGGGUGCAAUGUCUCCCCCAUUCCCAUUUUAACUGCUGGAAAUGAUUUAUUUGCAGGGUUAACCUGACUCUAGUGGUUGUCAAUAUAACAGCCUUUAGAGGCGCUUCUGUGAAAUAGCAGAGUAAAACUAUUAGAACGACCAUCUGAUUUGCUGCACAUGCAUAAAUGCACUAAUGAGUCUUCCAAUGCUUUCCAAUGGGAAAUCUUGAUGAUCUCAGCCAAAGAGACGAAGCUCGAAGGACCCCAGUGCUGCGAGGGCUGAAAGCCCUGCAGCGCUGGCACUGUCCCCUUAACGGCGACUAAGGCACUAUAGUGUUAAGAUUACGUAUUUGUAUUCCCAAGGAUAUAGUGUUCCUUUAAGAACAAAAGCAGUGGACAAGCACAGAUGGAUGUCCCCCCAUUAAUAUCAACCCACAGAGAGUGUAUCAGUAUUCAGUAUGAGACUUCAUUGAUUUCAAAUAAUGUAGUUUAAAGUUUCCUUGCACAGGUAUUCAGUCAUUGUGUUAUUAUUUUGUGAGAUUUCUUUGUUUAUGGUUGAGCUGAAAUAGAACACCAUAGAGUUCUGGAGAUUCCAAAAGGCUUAUAGUUCAUUGUACAUAAAAGUGCUUACAGCUAUUUAUGUUAAAGGUUGUAAGGGCUAUUGUUCACUGUCUGGCAGGGAAGAUUCCAAAUGUUCUCCUAUGUAACUGUGAGACACUGUUCCUAAUUGGCAUUGGUGACCUGAAGAUGUUUUAUUUACAAAAAAGGGGUCAUUCUUUUGUUUGCCUGUUACUGUGAGCAGUAUGACUUUCAACAUGCACGUGGAAACCCUUUACCAUCAUCAUUGCACCCUGUUAGUAGUCUGGUACCCAAUCUGAACUUAGAAAACAUAGUCAAUCUGUCCUGUGGGUGCAUCAUUACAGACACGUAACUAAUAUUAUGCAGACACGAUAAAGUAUUAUAAAAGGAUGCCAAUUGUUGUGGCUCUAUGCCUCCUGUUGUCCUUGCUAUUACCAUGAUUCAUAUAGUUAGUAUAGGAAUCAGUACCCAUGAUGCAAUGCAGGCCCAGGCAAUAAGGAAUUGUACGUCUUGCUAAAUCAUUGAUCAGUGACACAUAUAGUGACUAAUCCAAAACAAUGUUAGAACUUACAUUUAAAUAAUUUUUUCAUGGCUGCUUGAGUUUUGUAAUCUGUUGCCCAUAUAAUAUGUGCAUUGUGUAGGAAAAAAAGAAAACAAGCAAAAAAAAACCAGUAAUACUUGUUCUGACUGGCAUAUCUAAUAAAAAAGUUUGUAUUAAACCUUUAAGUUAGUUUACAUAAACUGGGUUCUUUUAUUCAGAGAAAUAUUUAGCUAGUUAGCAUACAUUUGGAGCAAAUACAGUAAAAUACAGCUGUAAAAUGUGGCCUUGGGUGCAUUAUAUUCUGGUUUGUUUUGCUCAAAUGAGGUCACAGAGACAUUAAGAAGGAUAAUCUUAGGUGGACUAGGAUUAUGGUUUUUGUUGGGCAUUUUACGAUGUCGCCAUUGAGAUUGUCACACGCAUAAAAUACCUUAAAAGGAUUAGUUGCUUGUUUAGUGACCGUUUGAUUGGAAGAAUUUGUAAAAGCAUAGCUGUGACUUUACCGUUAGUAAACACUACACAUUUAACACUUCUUUUCAAUGUCGUCCUGUGAUGAAAUCAUUGAACUCUGGAAUAAGAACUCAAGAUUUUCAUUAGAUAUCACAGAAACAGAACCCAAGUUAUUGAUGCUCUUUCUAUGCGCUAUGCCACUAUGCCACAAAUUGAAUUAAAGGAGACCCCCUCUAAUAGAACAACAUGUUCCAUAAAUAAUAAACUGGAGAAGUCCGUUAGGUGUUGGCUAGUUACUUGUAUGCCAUAUUUAUGAGUUCGUGAGAGCUUCAGUACUUUUUAGCCUUUCUCCUUACACUGCUUCAACCGAAUAAUCAAGAACAUAUUGUUAAAAACUAAACUCGUAAACAUAUAUUAAAGUAACACACUGGUGGUGGAAUAAAUACAUUUAUUUAUAACGCCAGAGUGUUCCAUUCUGGUUUGCGUUUCUGGGCUCCCUGUUCCUAUGUAAAAAAAAAAAAAAACAAUUACUCCUAACCCAGCUUGAGAAGGCCUGUCUCCUUGUUGCAUCUCAAUUCUGCUCCACAACAUAAUCAGUACUGAUGAUCUCCCAGACAGUCCAAGGCUUCUUAUAGAAUAGCAUUAGUAGGCAGGGCCCAUAAUUUUGCGAUUCGCUGUUAGUGCUUCUGAUAGAGAACAUUGAAUCCAAUGUUUUUUCAAAUUAGAAGCCUGACAUUCCCUUUAGGCAAGUGCUCAGUAUGUUGAAGAGCGCCCUCGCAGUUGUCUGACAUCUGAGGGUACCACCUACAACUUAUCUUGAAUUUGGCAGUUUUAUAAAUAAGAUAGAUGGGGCUCUGUCAAUCAACAAAGUACGUCAUCAUAGGGGUAUGGAGUUUUCCUUUAAGCAAGUAGUGUUUUUUUAUUUGUUAGAAAAUUAUGUCUAUGAGCCUUAAGGGAUUCAAACAUUUGCUUCUAAUCAAAUAAAGAAAAUACUGAAAUCAUGACAAUAUUCUAGUUGCCAAACUAUUUUAUAACUAGUAGUAGUGGAAUAUUGAACCACAAGUGACAUAUAUGUGAUGCAGUUUUCCCCCUUAACCCCUAUAAGGACCAAACUUCUGGAAUAAAAGGGAAUCAUGACAUGUCACACAUGUCAUGUGUCCUUAAGGGGUUAAACCCCCUUCUUACUUAUCCAUUCUCACUCUUUCACAUUCUCUCCUUUUCUUUUUUAAUCCUCAUUUUGUGUUUUUUUCCUCCCUCUGUUUUUAUUUUAAGCACUGCCCCUUUAAUUGGGGAUGACGUAAGCCGUAAUUAAGUUUUUCUGUGGCUUGAAAAGGAAAUGAGGUAGUGAUAUUUGCUUUGAAGUUACCAUGCCAUGGAUUAGUAUAAAGAACACUUAUCAUAAGAACAAGUAUCGCUUUAAAAUAUUCUCGCUUCUUUCUCUAACAAAAUAAAAACACACCCAAAAUACUAGAACUUCUUGUAAUAUAUCCUUUAGCAAGAUCGUUAUGAAAUGUUAUAGCUAGUAAAUGUAUUUAUUUCAACAGUGUUGAGCUGUUUAGCACUUGAAAUAAGUUGUAUUUGUUUUGUUUACUUUAUGCUCCCGUUUUGUAUUUGUUGCUAACCAUAUGGCUAAUGUACGCGUCCUGCUUCGUCCCAUAUAAUUACUACUGUUGGAUAAAGGUCAGCAAGUAAGAUUGCGACUCAUAUACCAAAUGUAUGAAUACAUACUAGACUCAUCGUGUUUAUUAUUUUAUUAAAUCAUAUCUGUUAAAAAUAUAUUUGGAUUUACUAUAAAGCAAUAUUUUUCCCGACACAUGUUUGAAUAAAUAAAAUGGCAAUAUCUUCAAGAUACAGUUCCUAAUUUGUUCUAAGGGCAGUCAUUAAAAUUACCUUAGGAUCCCGUCCUCUACACAGUAAUGCAAAAUCUCAGUUUACCUAAACUACUUUACUUUGGUACAUACAUCAGUUCCUUGGUUUAUAAUGUGGUUAAAGGACCACUAUAGUGCCAGGAAAACAUACUUGUUUUCCUGGCACUAUAGUGUCCUGAGGGCUCCCCCCACCCUCAGGGUUCCCCUCCCGCCCGGCUCUGGGGAGAGGAAAGGGGUUAAAACUUACCUUUCUCCAGCGCCGGGCGGGGAGCUCUCUGCCUCCGAUCCUCCUCCUCUCCUCUCUUUCGGCUGAAUGCGCACGCACGGUAAUAGCUGCGUGCACAUUCAGCCGGUCUCAUAGGAAAGCAUUUACAAUUACGAUUUUCACAGUGAGAAUCACGCAAGCGCCUCUAGCGGCUGUCAAUGAGACAGCCACUAGAGGAUUUGAGGGCUGGAUUAACCCAUUUAUAAACAUAGCAGUUUCUCUGAAACUGCUAUGUUUAUAAAAAAAUGGGUUAACCCUAGCUGGACCUGGUACCCAGACCACUUCAUUAAGCUGAAGUGGUCUGGGUGCCUAGAGUGGUCCUUUAAGUGGACACCAUGGACAGUUUAGUCCAAGCGCACACAUAAAAAGCCAAUCGUUCUGUUACUUUUUUUUCUUUUAAGAAACCCUGAGAACCACACUAAUACUGGGCUGCAUAACUCAUGAUUAGAUCAUAUCUUUAGUCAUCUACUACUAGUCCACCGAAAUAGUUGAUGCAAAAAUAGUCCAGUUUUCUCAGCAAAACUGCUGAAUUAAGCAGUGAUGGAACUGCUCCAAAAUGUUCCUUUUAGACCCAUACUGCAUGGGAAACGACAGGCUCUUUCUUUCUCUUUUUUUAGGUGCCUCCUGAUGGCAUUUCAUCUCUUAAAAAAGAACAUUUAUAGUCCUUUUCAGUCAGUCAGUCAGUCAGCCAGGUUACAGGAAAUAAAUUAGAAACCACCCUAUUUCAUGUCCUAAUUGAUUUUGUCAUGGCAUCUGACAAGGUCGAUUAUUCCAAUCCAGCCCAUUUGUAAAUUAACUCUACAUUUGACACCAUUGACAGAUUUUAAUACUGCAUUUUAACACCAACACAAGCUCUUUGGUACAGUUAUUAAUUAGUGAAAAUCACUCCUGUUAUCAGAUCAGAGAUUGCCAUCUAAAAUAUCCUUAAUUUCUUCAAAACUGUUAACUUGCAUAGUGCACAUUUUGUAUUAUUUUAAAUAUAUAUGUUAACCACUACAGAAUAUCCAUCUUGCUGCUAUGCAGAUUAUAUAUAUCUAUUUAAUUCUCUUUCACUAGGAACUGUGGAUCUUGGGAACAUAUGCAUACCUCAUGCUGUCUGGAGUCCGUCACUAGUGGGGCCCCUAAAAUGGGCCAGUCCACAGGAAAGUAAGCAAAUCCACCCACUGAAGGGGUGUGUGAGCCUCGCUUGAUGUCAAGCUCGCCAGGCUCACCUCCUGAUGACCAGCCUUGCUUGAUGUCAAGCUCACCAGGCUCACCUCCUGAUGACCAGCCCCCUUCAUACACGAUCAAGAGUAAAGCAUUUCUAAAGCGCUCUGUGCGUGGUCCUAAUGCCCACAGCAUUGAAUGAUGUGCUGCCUGGGGCCAGUUCCCUGGUGUACCAAAAUGUGGGACACCAGGGAACUAAAACAAGACAGGACCCCGAGAUUGGGACUAUCCCGACGAGAUAGUCCCAAUCUCGGGGGACUGACCCUAAAACUGUGCCUGACCCUAAAACUACAAGAGAACAGGUUUUCUUUUUUAUGCUGCAUUUGGCAGAGCCAGCUUUAACAUCUGUGUGACAUUAGGAGGGCCGGAGCUAGAAACAACCAUGUAACAUCACGUCGUCCAGUAGUUCGAAUGUGACUACAAACCCUUAUUCCUAACGCCAUACUGUCCUAGUGGCCGAUUAGGUUUAGACUUGAUAAAGAGCUAUUUUAGUUGAAACUCUUCCCUUUCUUGUCCAAUAAAGUCUACUUUGGAUUGACCAUUAAGUGCCCAGACUUUUCUGUUUGUUCUUAUAGUUUAUGUCCACAGACAAAGGAGAAAUUAAACUGUGUUUACUUCUUAUGCUAGAUUGUGAUGUCAUUUGUUAAUCUUUAAUAUAUAUUUAAAACAAAACAGAGCAUCAUAUGAGAGUAAGUUGAAAGGGACACUAUAAUUGCCAAAACUGCUCAAUUCCCUGCCAUUAGGAGUUAAAUAACGAUUAUUUCUGUUUAUGUAGCCCUAGCCAUACUUCCCCUUGCUGUGCAUGAAAAAAAGUUUAAUUUUCUAUCAGAUGCUAACUUGCUUAAGAAGUUUUUACCUCCUGCUCUGUAAAUUGAACUUUAUGCACACACAGGGGGCCCCUGCAAAGUAUAGCAGUCAAUCAACAGUGCAGGCCAUAAUACAUUCUAAAUUUAACAUACAGUGCAAUAAAGGUUUGAACAUUAGAUUUCUCUUUACAGGAAGUGUUUAGGAAGGCUGUGCAAGUCACAUGCAGGGAGGUGUGACUAAGGUGCAUAAACAAAGUGAUUUAAUUCCUAAAUGGCAGAGAAUUGAGUAGUGAAACUCUAAGGCCAUGAUCUAUACACCAAAACAGCUUAAUUAAACUAAAGUUGUUUUGGUGACUAGAGUGUUUUAAACUCAAAUUGUAGGUAUUUUUGAAGGUUUUAUUUAGUGGGAUAAUUUCUCGAGAAAUUACAGUUUCCCUUUAAUGGACUAGUUGAUCAGAACAUAGCAGCAAUCACUGCUAAUUUCAACAACAUAGCUGCAGUGUAGUAUCCAUGGGAUCGAAUAGAAGUUAUCAACCUCUGUCAACCAGUACUUUGGUUUAAGUAUCUGUACUCUUAAUUUCGCACUUGGUAUGACACACAUGUCCAUUGAGUAGCAAGAGUUAUGUUCUAGUAUAAGUAUAACCUGCAACAAAACUGACUAAUCCUGCCAAACAACCCUAGCAUUAUCCCUAAGUAACCUCACCUUAAAUGGUAAAGGUGUUUUAACCUGUUUACAUGUACUGUCACUUAUAUGAAAAUUACACCAUUGGAUAAAAAAAUGGAAAUUACCUAUAACUUACCUAUGUUUUUUCUUAUAAAACUGUUUUCUUCUAAGUGUUAUAUCAAGACACAAUUGACAUUACAAAAAAGCUCAGUCCUUGCACGGCCAGGUGGCUCAUUGCUUUAAUAGUGUUUCUCCAAGGACAAUAACUACUUCAGUGAUUUGAACUGGUCAUACUGUCUGAAGUCUGUAUGUGCAGUAUUUUGCUUUGAAACACUGCACUUGCAGAUAUUAACUCCUCUGCUACUGAAUGUGUAACUCCGCCUCCGGUGGGUCACAGGAGUGUCAUCAACCAGCCCAGAACUAAAAUUCCAGUCUGUUUAAUAUAAUUUCUGUGCAACUUUCGUUGCUCAUAAUUAAUUGGCUGAGAGCGCUCUGCUGAUAGUCUCAGCCAAUGAAUGCAGACUGGCACUCUUUAGGAGCGGAAAGCAUGUCACCAAGCCACCAGGGAGUAUUGGAGCCUGGUGAGACAAAGGUAAGGAGGCAUACCGUUACUAAACAGUUUGCCCUGUUACCAGGGAACUUGGGUCAGGGUACUCCUAGUAUCAUAACCACUACAGCGGACUGUACGGUGGAUGUAUACACAUCAAUGCAUCUCUAUGGGGAACGUUCAGCACCUCCAUGCCGAGCGUGGAGACGCUGAAUGUAGGUGCUGCAAACUGUGGAAACUAGGAAUCAAUAUAAACACUGCAUUUUCUCUGAAAAGUCUGCAGGGACAGGCUAUAGACACUAGAACCACUACAUUAAGCUGUAUUUUGAUGUUGAAUAUAAAGCUUUGUAAGUUGAAAAAAAAAACUGGCUCCUAACUUUUUUAGCUGUCUCCUAAAUUCAAAGCAAAUUUGUAAAGCCCUGCUCUAGACACUUUACUGUAAAAAGAAAAGAUGAUGCAAAUAACUAAGCAGGUUAUAACUGAGUAUAUAUGGAUAUUGGGUAGCAGUUAGCGUGAGUUACAGAAGUGAACUUAAAGGGGCAUUUAAAUGUUAAAAUUUUAUAUAUUUAUUUUUAAUGCUGGAGGGUUUCUUUUUUAAUUUAGCUUUAGAACCCCUUGUUUUUAUUAGAUUAUUUUUAAAUUCUUGGUAAAAGUAAAUUUCCUUAUAAUCCAUCACCGAUACUAUCUCCAUGUUGUAGCUUCAAUAUCUUAUUGAUUGAAUUGAUGAUCUCUCGGCUAAUCCACAGCUAGUCAUAGAGAAGCUUUGGGGUCUUACAGUGGAUGUACUGCAAUCUCCUACAUCCACCUGAAUAGUGGUUCUCAUAUAGAAGAUUUGAAACCAGGGCUUCCCUAUGGGAAGCGCUCACUACUGAUUUGAUCACUUUCAGAGCUAUUACUGAUACCAUUUCUCGGGAAAUUUGAAUUUUUAUAAAAUAGAACAGAAGGGACCUUUAAUUAACCCCUAAAGCAUUUCAGCAAGCCAAAAUGCAUUAGUAGACUUGAGCACAUCUUUAACCGAGCAGUUGUUGACCAAUUCUAGAUAGAAUUUCUCAAAUAACAGUCUUGAGUUUUAAAACUAACUUUUUCGGAAUCUAUUAGCAGAACAAACCACCAGAGUCUUGUAAGAGACAUUACGUGAUAUUAUAUUUACUCAGUGUUGUUUACAUCUCUAGUGCCUUCUCUGAUUGGCCGGAUUCUCCUCACCAUGUUUAUUUCCUGCCCUCUGCCAGCCUUUAAUUGGCUGCCCGUCUUUUACCUGCUUUUUAUGAGAAUAUUUGUUUGUGCCUUUUUUUAAUGGCAAUCUCCAACACAGUGGGAAGAUUUGUGACACCUUUGGUGUCUUUCACAAGAUUUGACAGACAGUAGUUGGUAGAAAGGGGGGAGGUCUGUUUCUCUGCUGGGUUUCGCUUAAGAACAUUGAAUACAGUUUUAUAACUGAAGCCCCUUUUUACACUGCUGCUUACAUGAAUUCUGUUGUAAUUAAUGUGUUUAUCCAAUAGGACAAAUAAACAUGGUUAGUAACAUAGUAAUAAGAUAGCAGUUAUUUUUUAUUUUUUUUAUUUUGUGGGGGUGGGCAGGAAAAAUAUAAUUCUUCAAAGCCCCCAUUAAAAAUUAGUCUCAGAAAAGAAGCUGUAGCAAAAUGUUUGUCUUCAUGGCUUUUGCGGUUUGUCACAAUUAUAGUCAUGCACAUAUUCAAUUAAAGCAUUUAUUUUUGUUAAAUAUUCCACUUUGGGUUAACACAAUGCAGUGUUUCAAUGUCUUUGUUAAGCAACACAAUAUCCCUAUUUUGUUUCUGUUAUAGGCAACAGUCCAGGGUUUGUAAAACCAUGAUCCCUUGUAUUGUACAGGGAUCACUCACUACCUACCACUUACCAUGUGAAUUGUCUGAUCCACUCGCAUUUUGAUUAAUCCUGGCCCAGUACUCUAUUGUAGGAUUUUUGGCCUCUUUCUAAGAACUGCCUAGUUUGAGGUAAGGACUCUAUUGAUAGACAUUCCCUGCUGGCAUUAUUUAGUUUCACAAACUUUUUGCCACCAUUGUCUUCAUAGCUUAAAUUGGGUUGCAAAUUAACUGUAGGAUUUAGAAGUGAAACUUACAUUAUCAAUAACGAAUCCAACAUCUUUCAGUGCCCAGUAAAUAAUUACUUUCAUAUCUGUCUAGCUAUCUAAUACGUAUAUUAUAUUUAUAUCACCAAGAGCAAUAUUUUUAACAAGUAGGAAAAAUCAAGAUUGUUCAAACUCUGGCACUCACUAGCUUAUUGGGGAGAUUGUUUCAAAAGAUUUGUACUAUUACCUCUUAAAAACUGUACAGUGAAGGUUUAAACAUGGAUUAUUAUAAACAAUAUAUCAAUUAUAUUGAAGGUAAAAAAAUUCUCUCAUCGUAUAAUAUUGAAUAUGCUUUUCCUAUACUACUUCUAAUGCAUGCUGCUGAACUGUGAUUGUGCUCUGAAAAGGAUUUUUGUUUCUGCAAUGAGGCAGCAUUGCUAAGGAGGCAGGGUUAUGGUGCAACUUUUUGUAAAACAUUUUGUAACAGAUGAAGACAUUUGUACUAUUCCAUAUUUUUAAUAUAACAGAGGUUUCCAAGGAUUGAAAAUUAUAUGCUGAUUACGACCUAGAUAAAUGCCACUGGAAACAAAAAAUAAGUAGAUAUGUUCCAAAUUAGACUGGUAUUCACCCAGUUCUGCAAACCACUGGUUGCCAUUAACACCUGCUUUUUAAAAUCUGUCUGAUCCAUACGAAGCUCCAUUUAAUCUGGUGGUUUAUACAAAAUGCAGCACACAGGGAGAAACUUGCUGAUUUGCAAUCAUCAGCCCAGAGCUAGCUUCUGAAUUCCCUAAUCAGUGCUUAACUUGGAGCUUUGAAGUGUGGGAGAGUGCAGUGAGUCUGUUCUCUGACAGAUUGCUGACCCACCUUUUGCUUUGAGUCAUUUUGUAUAUGGGGAUUAGAUUUCUAAAGCCAAGGUAAUGUAAAUCCUGUGUUUAAAGUCAUGUAACUUUUUAAACCUGGAGAUCAAAUCAGUCUUUGUGAUGUCUACGUGUCCAUAUUUACACGUCUCUUAAACCUUAUGUGUUCUUUUCUUUUUGAAACUAGGGAUUGUCUGCUCUGUCUGUUUGAAUACUAGAUUAAUUAUAUUAAUAUCCGAUUAUGGUUGUAUAUUCUAUUUUAGAUCAGAAUCGCCUGGCAGCAGCUGAUUUAUUUCUCUGCAGUGUUCUUUCCAGUUGCCCUGUGGGUAACUUGCUGUCAGGAAUGCAAGACCUAUCCGUGAGAAAAAGUACAGUCAGCUACUGUCUAGUAACUUGUACUUUUUAGGGAGGAAUUAUCUGUAUAUUUUUUUAAUUCACCUUUGGUAAAAUCUGACUACGCUAUGUGGUAUGUUUCUCUGAACUGUCUCCAACCUGUGCUAUUGUAAACACUACCUUUGUCUUCUGCAGGUUAGCAGUAUGCUCAGGAUACUCAGCUGGGGCAAAGUUUCAC